rfam:Oryza sativa (indica cultivar-group) chromosome 1, whole genome shotgun sequence.
AAUAAACGCAUCCAUAAGUUUUCGUAUCUAACUUUGAUCAUCCGUCUUAUUUAAAUUUUUUUAUAAAUAAUAUUUUUAUGAAUUAUAAAACAUGAAUAGAACUUUAUGCGUAACUAAUUUUUUUAUUUUUUUUAAAAAAAAUAAGACGGAUGAUUAAAAUUAGAUACAGAAACUCAUGGCUGGGUUUAUU